UACGUAGGGGGCUAGCGUUGUCCGGAAUCAUUGGGCGUAAAGCGCGUGUAGGCGGUCCGGUAAGUCCGCUGUGAAAGUCGGGGGCUCAACCCUCGGAUGCCGGUCGAUACUGUCGGACUAGAGUCCGGAAGAGGCAAGUGGAAUUCCCGGUGUAGCGGUGAAAUGCGCAGAUAUCGGGAGGAACACCAAUGGCGAAGGCAGCUUGCUGGGACGGUACUGACGCUGAGACGCGAAAGCGUGGGGAGCAAACAGG
rnacentral:rRNA from 1 species